GUGUCAGCUUCUGUCACAUGCACACUCAGCUUUGCGGAAAUCACGGGCAAUUUGUCGAAGCGCCGAUUUCAGAUAUCGAAGAGGCACCUGCUUUUCCAGACGUGUCAGCACCUGUCACAUGCACACUCAGCCUUGCAAAAAUUACGGGCAAUCUGUCGAAGAUUUCUAGUGACGUAGAAAGCACCAAUAUGAUAUUCUUUUGAGGUGGGCUUGGUAAUGGUGAGUCUCCCAUACCCUACUAAGAGUUUCAUCCAAAACUCUCGAAUUCCAAUGAGGGAUAUGGAAUUUGCCAAAAAUAGUGGGUGGUGCUAUUUCAUUUAAAGACCCGAAUCAAAUGGCUUAAAAUCAAUCAAUUUAUAUUCGUUAUGUAUUUGUUUACCAAUAUAUUUGCAAACGCUAUCCAAAACUUGACUAAGAAAAGCCGAAUGCUUUAGUUUCCGGACUUGGUACAACAAUCCCAAAGAUUGUCUUAAAUGGAUUGUAUAUGUACCUAAGUAGUCUAAUCCUCACAAUCUUCCUAUUGAUA
rnacentral:lncRNA from 1 species